rnacentral:pre_miRNA from 1 species
UGAUGAUGACAAUGAUGAUGGUGAUGGUGAUGGUGAUGACGGGGGAGAUGUCUGCAUUAUGAUCAUCACCACCAUCAUUAUCACCAUCAUCAUCAUCAUCCUCA